UUUUUUUUUUUAAUUUUUAUUUAUUUAUGAUAGUCACAGAGAGAGAGAGAGAGAGACAGAGACAGAGACACAGGCCGAGGGAGAAGCAGGCUCCAUGCACCGGGAGCCCGACAUGGGAUUGGAUCCCGGGUCUCCAGGAUCGCGCCCUGGGCCAAAGGCAGGCGCCAAACCGCUGUUCCACCCAGGGAUCCCUAAAGGAGACAAUCUAACAAGAGAAUCUAACAGUUGUGAAUAAUGUUUGUUACUAUUUUAUAUAUUUGGAUGCUCUCAGGUUGGGUGCAUAAAUAUUCGCAAGGAACUAAUUAAUAGUAAUUUAAUAAUAGUAUGGAACUAUAACACCCCACUUACAUCAAUGGGCAGAGCAAACAGAAAACAUGAAAACAGUGGCUUUGAAUGACAGUGGACUAGAUAAACUUGACAGAUGUAUUAAGAGCAUUUUAACCUAAAGCAGCAGACUACACAUUCUUUUCAAUUGCAUGUGGGCCAUUGUUCAGAAUAAAUCACAUAUAAGGUCAUAAAUCAGGUCCUAACAAAGACAAAAAGAUUGGGAUAAUACCAUGCAUUUUUUUUUUUUUUUAAGAUUUACUUAUGGGACACCUGGGUGGUACAAUCAGGUAAGUGACUGACUCUUGGUUUUGGCUCAGAUCAUGGUCUCAGGGUCAUGAAACUGAGCCUUGCAUUGGGCUCUGUGUUCAGUGUGGAGUCUUCUUGGGAUUAUCUCUCACUCUCCCUCUAUCCCCCCUGCUCCUGCUCUCUCUCUAAAAAUAAAUACAUCAAUCUCUUUUUAAAAAUUUACUUAUUUGUUUUAUGGAAGGGAGGGAGAGAGAAUUUCAAGAAGAUUGUGCUGAGCACAGAGUCCAACACAGGGCUCAAUCUCACAACCCUGAGAUCAUGACUUGAGCCAAAAUCAAUAGUCAGUAGCUUAAGGAAAUGUUCCACCCAGGCACCCCCAUGUAUCUUUUCUGACCAUAUUGCUAUGAAACUUGAAGUCAACCACAAGAAGAAAAAUGGAAAGGCCACAAAUACAUGGAGAUUAAACAACAUGCUACUAAACAAUGAAUGAGUCAACCAGGAAAUAAAUGAUGAAAUAAAAUUAACAAGGCAGGAAACAACAAAUGUUGGAGAGGAUGCGGAGAAAAGGGAACCCUCUUACACUGUUGGUGGGAAUGUGAACUGGUGCAGCCACUCUGGAAAACUGUGUGGAGGUUCCUCAAACAGUUAAAAAUAGACCUGCCCUACGACCCAGCAAUUGCACUGUUGGGGAUUUACCCCAAAGAUACAAAUGCAAUGAAACGCCGGGACACCUGCACCCCGAUGUUUCUAGCAGCAAUGGCCAAUAUAGCCAAACUGUGGAAGGAGCCUCGGUG
rnacentral:lncRNA from 1 species